rnacentral:rRNA from 1 species
UACAGAGGGGGCAAGCGUUGUUCGGAAUUACUGGGCGUAAAGGGCGCGUAGGCGGCCUGCUAAGUCGAACGUGAAAUCCCUGGGCUCAACCCAGGAACUGCGUCCGAUACUGGUUAGCUUGAAUCCGGGAGAGGGAUGUGAAAUUCCAGGUGUAGCGGUGAAAUGCGUAGAUAUCUGGAGGAACACCGAUAGCGAAGGCAGCUCGCUGGGACGGUACUGACGCUGAGGCGCGAAAGCGUGGGGAGCAAACAGG